rnacentral:rRNA from 1 species
UAGCUAGUUGGUGAGGUAACGGCUUACCAAGGCGGCGAUCUGUAGCGGGUCUGAGAGGAUGAUCCGCCACACUGGAACUGAGACACGGUCCAGACUCCUACGGGAGGCAGCAGUGGGGAAUUUUGGACAAUGGGGGCAACCCUGAUCCAGCCAUGCCGCGUGAGUGAAGAAGGCCUUCGGGUUGUAAAGCUCUUUCGGCCGGGAAGAAAUCGCAUGGGCCAAUACCCUGUGUGGAUGACGGUACCGGAAUAAGAAGCACCGGCUAACUACGUGCCAGCAGCCGCGGUAAUACGUAGGGUGCGAGCGUUAAUCGGAAUUACUGGGCGUAAAGCGUGCGCAGGCGGUUUUGUAAGACAGGCGUGAAAUCCCCGGGCUCAACCUGGGAACUGCGUUUGUGACUGCAAGGCUAGAGUACGGCAGAGGGGGGUGGAAUUCCACGUGUAGCAGUGAAAUGCGUAGAGAUGUGGAGGAACACCAAUGGCGAAGGCAGCCCCCUGGGUCGAUACUGACGCUCAUGCACGAAAGCGUGGGUAGCAAACAGGAUUAGAUACCCUGGUAGUCCACGCCCUAAACUAUGUCAACUAGGUGUUGGGUGGGUAAAACCAUUUAGUACCGUAGCUAACGCGUGAAGUUGACCGCCUGGGGAGUACGGCCGCAAGGUUAAAACUCAAAGGAAUUGACGGGGACCCGCACAAGCGGUGGAUGAUGUGGAUUAAUUCGAUGCAACGCGAAAAACCUUACCUACCCUUGACAUGCCAGGAACUUGCCAGAGAUGGCUUGGUGCCCGAAAGGGAGCCUGGACACAGGUGCUGCAUGGCUGUCGUCAGCUCGUGUCGAGAGAUGUUGGGUUAAGUCCCGCAACGAGCGCAACCCUUGUCGUUAAUUGCCAUCAUUUAGUUGGGCACUUUAGCGAGACUGCCGGUGACAAACCGGAGGAAGGUGGGGAUGACGUCAAGUCCUCAUGGCCCUUAUGGGUAGGGCUUCACACGUCAUACAAUGGUCGGUACAGAGGGUCGCCAAGCCGCGAGGUGGAGCCAAUCCCAGAAAGCCGAUCGUAGUCCGGAUUGCAGGCUGCAACUCGCCUGCAUGAAGUCGGAAUCGCUAGUAAUCGUGGAUCAGCAUGUCACGGUGAAUACGUUCCCGGGUCUUGUACACACCGCCCGUCACACCAUGGGAGCGGGUUCCGCCAGAAGUAGGUAGCCUAACCGCAAGGAGGGCGCUUACCACGGCGGGGUUCGUGACUGGGGUGAAGUCGUAACAAGGUAGCCGUAGGGGAACCUGCGGCUG